UUUCUACGUCAAUAUACUCAGUACUUAGUGUACUGCAAAAACAAAUACAAGAUAUCGAGGCAUGUAGACAUGUAGACUUUACUUGGAUUGGAAAUUAUAAUUGGAGUGAGUGAAGUAUAGAGCAUGAGUAUGUGGUAUAUAUGUAUAGAAAUCAAGCAGUACUUUUAUUAGUGUUAGACAUAUACAGUACGAACUGUUAAAACUGUUAGCGGAUUGAAUUAUUUCAAGUAGAACAUGUGACAGGCAUACAUUCCAACGUGCCUCAUCCGGGAAAUCUAUUCUUCGGAGCAAAAAAAAAAAAAUAAAUAAAUAAAUAAAAUAUUUAUUUUUUUGUCUAAUAACCGAUAAAUAAGUCGGUAUUUGAGAAUAUAUAAGUAAUAAAUUGAGUUUACUGUUUGAAGAUUACGACGGAUUGACGGGAGAGACUUUUAUUAAAAUCCAAAUGUCAUUGUCGCUUUUAAAUCAGACAGCAAUCAUGGGCUUAGAGGCUUAUCAUUAUAGCUGUGUACCGUGAUACGACUUCCUUGGUAAAUUGGCAAAUUAAAAAUACCGUGGCAACAAUAUAUAUAUAUAUAUUGUAUACGUGUUUAUGAUGUACUUUGUAUUGUAUUGUGCAAAGUCCUACUUAUAAAGCAUUUUAAUGUCAACUUAAAUCUUGUAAUUUAUAAAUAGUAAUUGAUUCUUCUGUCAUUAAUUUCAGUAUAUUAAAUUAUUUUACUAUUACAGUAGACAAAGAAGGUUAAUAAAAUUUAAAUAAUUCCAUUGACAAUGCGGUUAACUUUUUAAAUCUCGUGAUUGUCUUCAUACUUGAUUCUCCAGGUAUUUAGUGCGUGGAAUAGAAGUAUUAUAGCGUUUUCUUUUUAAACUUUAAAAUAAACUCCAACGUUUUCUUUUUCAGCUUUUUAAUAUUAGAAAAAAAAUAGUCUUCGGUUCAGUUGGUUUUUUUAAUUAACCCGUUAUAAAUCUAGUAUGUAUGGAUUUAAAAUGUUGAUUAAAAAAUUAUUUCGUUCAGCGUAAUUUAAUAUUGUUAAUUUUUUUAUCAUAAAUCCGAUGGUUACACAACACUUUACCAAAUGAUUAUGUUUUCAUAUUACGUUGCGUAUGUUACACAACGUUCUUGGUGCAUAAAAUACGUCUCUAGAUAGAAUAUGAACGAAGAAGGCGCACUAACAAAAUGGUUAUUUUAAUUUAUGGAUAGAUGAAAAGACCAAGUUAAUAAAAACUGUGAUAACAGACUAAUAAAGUAAAAUGUGGAAAAAUUGAUAACGAUCUUUGCUGCUAAUAUAAGACUGUGAGUGUAAAAUAUAGCAAAUAAUCACACUCUCUUGUAUUGUUAUUCGAUUCAAAUUACCGAUGACCCGCGCCAGGAACACAACACUCGAUUCUCAUUCGACUAGAUCCUUUUGAACUUACAACAAUUCAACUCCCUCUUAUUAUAUAUAUACAGUAUAUAUACAUAUACGAACAACACUGCACAGUAAUGUAAGGCGUGGCGAUCAAUUACGAUGCAAUCAAUAAAUCUAAACAGAGGAUUUGAAACAAAUUUUAUAUCACUUUCUCACGUUUAUUUUGUAACUUUUUAUUCAAAUCCUUUUCCUUUAUUACUGCUUAGAUUUUUUUCAUUGUUUGCAACCACUCAUCCAUCAAUCAAUCAAUCAUCAUAUUAAGUUUUUAUUCCCGCCGUUGUAAAAAUUUCAAAUGUUCAAUAGCUUCGCUGAGCUGGUGAGUUCUGACAUCAAUGCAGAGACAUAGAUCAGUUCAAGGAAAUCAACUGAGUACUGUUAAUUGAGAGCACGUGACUGUUUUUAAAUAAUAUAAAUAUAAUAAAAUAAAAUGAACGUCUAUUCACUUGAAUUAUCUCAGCAUCAGUUAUCUUUAAAAAAUACAAAAGUACUUUUGUUGAUUAUAAGUAUAUGCUGCGGAUGUUUGGAGUUCGAAUAUUAAAUGGAACUUUUUGAUGACAGUUGGAGUCAAAUUAUCGGUAAUGUUGAAUUGGUGAUCGGAGGAUGAUGAUGAUGACGAUGAUGAACUGGACGAAUGAGCACAAAAAAUGUGAGCAGAGGCGAGGACAGAACAGUCACAGACGAUUGCAAGCAAAGAGUUAAACAACGCGACAGUCGAACGACUACUAGACCGGUUGGUUGGUUGGUUGCUCGUUGGUUGUCUGAUGAUGUUUGGAUGUAGUAUAAAACACUGUAUACCACACGACACGGAUAUCUGUAUGUCUGACAAUAAGAGUGAGUGCACAUGACAAGAGCAGACUCAGGAUGCGCAUGUACGAGCUCUGCUCACGAGUUACAUUACACUAUUAUAUAUUAUAUUAUGUUAGAUAGAAGUUUGCUACUUUACUCUACUCUACCACACGUAUGUAGAGUCCCUCGACUGUAUGAUACAACAACUAAGUCAUCAUGUGAAGACCCGAGAAGAUUCAACCUAGCCAGGGGGUCAUGUCGCUUAUGCUUAUAUUUAGACUAUUUACUUACUUAGUUAGAACUAUUUGUGAGACUGGGAGUAUGAGAAUAAAAUAUUAACAUUUAUAUUCAUCAAUACAAUGUUACAAAAAAAGAUAAGGUAAAAUGAAAAUGCUGUACGGAUGCAUAUUAACAUGGAAAAAAGAGGAGAACUUAAUCGUGCUAAUUGUUUUAAGUGAAAAAUGUCAAUGUAUAAAUAAAAUAUUGUCAGAGUGAAUGGAGGAGUGCCAUAAAAAAAGGCAACAUAGAAAUGAUGUGUUUAAUCUUGAGGGUAAACAUGACACGAAGUAAUUUCCGUAAGGUUUUAUUUACUUAUUUAUUACCCGAUAGAUAAAAUGUAUUCGUACAUUCGUGCUCAAUGAACCGCGUUACAUUGCCAAGUAAUGUCCUAAUACUCCAUUCUCAUCCUCUAUAUUUAAUCUUUUAUGCCUUUAAAAAGAUUUAU